GAUGAAGAACGCAGCGAAAUGCGAUACUUGGUGUGAAUUGCAGAAUCCCGUGAACCAUCGAGUCUUUGAACGCAAGUUGUGUCCGAAGCCACUAGGCCGAGGGCACGCCUGCCUGGGUGUCACACGUCGUUGCCCCCCCCCCAUCUACUCCUUCGGGAUUGCGGGGGCGGAUGAUGGCCUCCCGUGCGCCUAGCCGCGCGGUUGGCAUAAAUACCAAGUCCUCGGCGACGCACGCCACGACAAUCGGUGGUUGCGAAACCUCGGUUGCCCGUCGUGUGCGUUCGUCGCGCAUCGAGGGCUCGAAAAAAUGCUCGGCUCCGGCUCGGCUUUCAACGCGACCCCAGGUCAGGCGGGGUUACCCGCUGAAUUUAAGCAUAUCAAUAAGCGGAGGA
rnacentral:misc_RNA from 1 species